rnacentral:rRNA from 1 species
GGCCCUAUGGGGCGCAGCAGGCGCGAAACCUUUACAAUGCACGCAAGUGUGAUAAGGGAAUCCUAAGUGCUUUGCUUUUAGUAAGGCUUUUGUCAAGAGUAAAUAUCUUGAUGAAUAAGUGAUGGGCAAGACUGGUGCCAGCAGCUGCGGUAACACCAGCGUCACAAGUGGCAAUCGUAUUUAUUUGGCCUAAAGCGUUCGUAGCCGGUUUUGUAAGUCUUUUGUGAAAUCGUUGUGCUUAACAUAACGGCGUGCAAAAGAUACUGCGAGACUUGGAACCGGGAAGAGUUAGAGGAAUUUUGAGGGGAGCGGUAAAAUGCUAUAAUCCUCGAAAGACCACCUGUGGCGAAGGCGUCUAACUGGAACGGAUUCGACGGUGAGGAACGAAAGCUAGGGGAGCGAACCGGAUUAGAUACCCGAGUAGUCCUAGCUGUAAACGCUGCGAGCAAGGUGUUGCACAUUCUUCGUGAAUGUGCAGUGUCGAAACGAAGGUGUUAAGCUCGCCGCCUGGGAAGUACGGUCGCAAGGCUGAAACUUAAAGGAAUUGGCGGGGGAGCAC